AUUACACAGCUAAGUCGACAGAAAUUUUGGUGUCAGCUCUGUUUCCUACUGUAAGAUAUAAAAGUUUUCUGAGAGUCUCUACUUAGAGCAUUCGGGAAUGUGCUUGCCUGUAAUGUCGUAACAUGCUUGAGCAGCCAAAGCGGUCAUGCGGGCUAGUUAUGAGUCACUUGUGUUCAUAUUCACAGAACGAAAAAAAGCAGAUGCAGACAUAAGUUGUACCUCCAUCGGCACCGCGCUCCCCUGGCCACAGCUGUUGGAGCGGUGCCAAGGAGCAAGUAGGCCCUCUGGUAGUUGUAGAAGGUAUGAUCCGUGAUGGUCUGGACACCAAUGGACUUGAGGCAUCGGAUGGUGGCAGCCACUUCGCAGCCCGAGUAGAGCAUGCCAGAAGGAAGUUGCCGGCUCCAGUUCCACUACCCUGAACAAGUGGCUGGCUUCUCCAGUGGAGCUUGUGCUGUUGCUCGCACUCCCCCUCUACAACGACUAGAGUUCCCAUGACGCUGAAGUUCAGGUUGCCAACUGCUUGGCCACAUACGGAGCAGUUAGCAAGCAGUUCACGAAGGGAGCUCUCAAACACACUGAACUUUCGUUCCUUGUGAAGAGGCUCUUCCACUGUUAGAACUCCAGUGCUGUUGUCUUGAUCGGUACUGUAAAUGAAUGACCCCACAAAACAUGUUAGUGCUUGUGUGUUACUCGGUAUUGCACAAUGGACAAGUCAGAUGACUUGGUUGAAAGAAAGAAGUAAAAUUUUUAAGGCUUCA